rnacentral:rRNA from 1 species
ACGGCCCUAUGGGUUGUAAACUGCUUUUACAGAGGAAGAACCCUCCUUACGUGUAAGGAGCUGACGGUACUCUAUGAAUAAGGAUCGGCUAACUCCGUGCCAGCAGCCGCGGUAAUACGGAGGAUCCAAGCGUUAUCCGGAAUCAUUGGGUUUAAAGGGUCCGUAGGCGGGUCUAUAAGUCAGUGGUGAAAGUCUGCAGCUUAACUGUAGAACUGCCAUUGAUACUGUAGACCUUGAAUUAGUAUGAAGUGGUUAGAAUGUGUAGUGUAGCGGUGAAAUGCAUAGAUAUUACACAGAAUACCGAUUGCGAAGGCAGAUCACUAAUACUAUAUUGACGCUGAUGGACGAAAGCGUAGGUAGCGAACAGGAUUAGAUACCCUGGUAGUCUACGCCGUAAACGAUGGUUACUAGCUGUCCGGCCUAAUUGAGGGCUGGGUGGUUAAGCGAAAGUGAUAAGUAACCCACCUGGGGAGUACGUUCGCAAGAAUGAAACUCAAAGGAAUUGACGGGGGCCCGCACAAGCGGUGGAGCAUGUGGUUUAAUUCGAUGAUACGCGAGGAACCUUACCAGGGCUUAAAUGCAGUCUGACGUAUCUGGAAACAGAUAUUUCUUCGGACAGAUUGCAAGGUGCUGCAUGGUUGUCGUCAGCUCGUGCCGUGAGGUGUCAGGUUAAGUCCUAUAACGAGCGCAACCCCUGUGGUUAGUUGCCAGCGAGUAAUGUCGGGAACUCUAGCCAGACUGCCGGUGCAAACCGUGAGGAAGGUGGGGAUGACGUCAAAUCAUCACGGCCCUUACGUCCUGGGCCACACACGUGCUACAAUGGUAGGGACAGAGAGCAGCCACUUCGCGAGAAGGAGCGAAUCUAUAAACCCUAUCACAGUUCGGAUCGUAGUCUGCAACUCGACUACGUGAAGCUGGAAUCGCUAGUAAUCGCAUAUCAGCCAUGAUGCGGUGAAUACGUUCCCGGGCCUUGUACACACCGCCCGUCAAGCCAUGGAAGCCGGGGGUACCUGAAGUCCGUUACCGCAAGGAGCGGCCUAGGGUAAAACUGGUAACUGGGGCUAAGUCGUAACAAGGUAGCCGUACCGGAAGGUGCGGCUGGAACACCUCCUUUCU